UACGUAGGGUGCGAGCGUUAAUCGGAAUUACUGGGCGUAAAGCGUGCGUAGGCGGUUCUCCAAGUCCGUUGUGAAAUCCCCGGGCUUAACCUGGGAAUGGCAGUGGAAACUAGGGGACUUGAAUUUGGCAGAGGGGGGUGGAAUUCCACGUGUAGCAGUGAAAUGCGUAGAGAUGUGGAGGAACACCGAUGGCGAAGGCAGCCCCCUGGGCUGAGAUUGACGCUGAGUGCACGAAAGCGUGGGGAGCAAACAGGAUUAGAUACCCUGGUAGUCCACGCCCUAAACGAUGUCAACUAGGUGUUGGGGAAGCGAUUUCUCAGUACCGCAGCUAACGCGUGAAGUUGACCGCCUGGGGAGUACGGUCGCAAGAUUAAA
rnacentral:rRNA from 1 species